UGGACCCGAUUGGCUUGAAUGCGCUCGGCCGGAUGCAGUCUCGGUCAAGCCUUGCGCUUGCUGUCCCUUUUGUGCGCGUGCGCUCAAGUGCGCGCGCAUGGGCUGGUGCUCCUCGUUGCUGCCCAUGUCCAUGCCCACUCUAGCAUGCGUGCAACCCACUGUUGCGUGUGCCGAGUGCUGGCGAGGCGUGGGGAGGUAGCCUGGCAGUGCAUCAGUCGCUUCUGAUCAUGGCGAGGUUCGGGCGCGCGCUGGUGCGUAUGGCGCUGGGUCGGCCUGGCGCCUGGGUGUUGGCCGGCCCGGCUGCUGCUUGUGCGUGCGGAGGUUUGCGCGCGGCUGGGCAUGCGCACGGAGGGGCCGCAUGUUGCUGGGCGUCGGGCGUGCGGAGAACCUCGCGCCGUGCUGGUGCGCGCGGAGGGUUGCGCGCAUGCUGAGGCGCUGAUGGGGGCUCACGGUCCAGAACCCCUCACCAAGCCCUUUUCCCUCGCACGCCUUGCAUGCGGCUUCAAAAUACGCUGAUGAUGGACCGAUUAUAGGUAACGCCGGUGGAAUAACUCAAAAAGAGAUCAACAAUAAAAGCAAACUGAAUUUAAUUCCACUCCAAUUGAAGAACAAACAACGACAAUCAAAAGCAAAUAACAAGAACAACGAAAAGCAAAAGAAAUCUAGCAAACGAUCGAAAGGAUCCCUUCCUAGCCCAAUCUAGUGGAGAUUGGGCUAGGAAGGCCUAAUCCCCCAAUAGCCCCAGCCUUACGGCCAACUCUCUCACAAGAGAAACAAGACUCAACUCAUAGAUCAUUGGAUUCCCUACAAUGGCCCCUCACAACCCUAUUUAUAGACUAAGCCCUAGACAAAACUAAGUAACCCUCCUUUGAUAAACAUCGCAUAUUGUCUUCUCAUGGAUUCAAGGAUUUUCC
rnacentral:lncRNA from 1 species